GAUGAACGCUGGCGGCGUGCCUAAUACAUGCAAGUCGAGCGAACGGACGAGAGGCUUGCUUCUCUGAUGUUAGCGGCGGACGGGUGAGUAACACGUGGAUAACCUACCUAUAAGACUGGGAUAACUUCGGGAAACCGGAGCUAAUACCGGAUAAUAUUUUGAACCGCAUGGUUCAAAAGUGAAAGACGGUCUUGCUGUCACUUAUAGAUGUAUCCGCGCUGCAUUAGCUAGUUGGUAAGGUAACGGCUUACCAAGGCAACGAUGCAUAGCCGACCUGAGAGGGUGAUCGGCCACACUGGAACUGAGACACGGUCCAGACUCCUACGGGAGGCAGCAGUAGGGAAUCUUCCGCAAUGGGCGAAAGCCUGACGGAGCAACGCCGCGUGAGUGAUGAAGGUCUUCGGAUCGUAAAACUCUGUUAUUAGGGAAGAACAUAUGUGUAAGUAACUGUGCACAUCUUGACGGUACCUAAUCAGAAAGCCACGGCUAACUACGUG
rnacentral:rRNA from 1 species